CGAGAAAGCCCGCAAGGGUGAGUAAAGCGGCGCACGGGUGCGUAACACGUGGGUAAUCUGCCCUAGAGUCCGGAAUAACUCGCCGAAAGGCGUGCUAAUGCCGGAUGAGACCAUGGGAGCCUCGGCUCCUGCGGGAAAAGGUGGCCUCUGUAUAUAAGCUAUCGCUCUAGGAUGAGCCCGCGGCCCAUCAGCUCGUUGGCGGGGUAAUGGCCCACCAAGGCUACGACGGGUAGCUGGUCUGAGAGGACGAUCAGCCACACUGGAACUGAGACACGGUCCAGACCCCUACGGGAGGCAGCAGUGGGGAAUCUUGCGCAAUGGGCGAAAGCCUGACGCAGCAACGCCGCGUGUGUGAUGAAGGUCUUCGGAUCGUAAAGCACUGUCGCGAGGGACG
rnacentral:rRNA from 1 species